rnacentral:rRNA from 1 species
GAUGAACGCUGGCGGCGUGCCUAAUACAUGCAAGUCGAGCGAACAGACGAGGAGCUUGCCCCUCUGACGUUAGCGCCGGACGGGUGAGUAACACGUGGAUAACCUACCUAUAAGACUGGGAUAACUUCGGGAAACCGGAGCUAAUACCGGAUUAUAUAUUGAACCGCAUGGUUCAAUAGUGAAAGACGGUUUUGCUGCCACUUAUAGAUGGAUCCGCGCCGCAUUAGCUAGUUGGUAAGGUAACGGCUUACCAAGGCAACGAUGCGUAGCCGACCUGAGAGGGUGAUCGGCCACACUGGAACUGAGACACGGUCCAGACUCCUACGGGAGGCAGCAGUAGGGAAUCUUCCGCAAUGGGCGCAAGCCUGACGGAGCAACGCCGCGUGAAUGAUGAAGGUCUUCGGAUCGUAAAACUCUGUUAUUAGGGAAGAACAAAUGUGUAAGUAACUAUGCACGUAUUGACGGUACCUAAUCAGAAAGCCCCGGCUAACUACGUG